AUACUUACCUGGCAGGGGAGAUACCAUGAUCACGAAGGUGGUUUUGCCAGGGCGAGGCUUAUCCAUUGCACUCCAGAUGUGCUGACCCCUGCAAUUUCCCCAAGGAAAGAAAAAAAAAGAAGGGAACUCCAAGAUCCAAGAUAUAAAAGACUAUGACAGGUGGACCUACCUGGUCUGAGGGUUCAGGGAAGGCCUUCUUGAA
rnacentral:snRNA from 1 species